CGACGACGAUAACCUGCGGUGCGAUUUCGUCAAGGAGAAAACUUGCUGAGAGAGAGAGCGCGGAGAGAGAGAACAGAGUGCUCGUACGGAGUCUGAUGUCGAGAAUCAGUGACAGAGAGCCAUUGGUGAAGACGCUUGACAAGUACGUCAAGGUCGUAAGGUGUGAGCAUUGUUUCUUGCUCUUUGAAGAGCUUGGGAAGAGCGAUAAGUGGCUUCAAUGCCUCGAGGUUUCUGCUUCUUCUCCGCUUACAUUCUGUGGAUUUUAGAUUCUGGGUAUUCCUUAUUCUGGAGUUUCAGCUAAAAGAUUGGAUUUUUUUUUUUUUAGCUCAGUGGUAGGUUCAUAGACUGUGUUUUUUACAAUUCUGUAUCAUUGAGAAGAUUGAUUUUUUAACCUCUUUAGCUCAAUGGAUUGCCAUGAACGGUUCUGUGAUUAGGUGCCUUCAUUAGAGCGAAGCAACCAUUAUGCUGCUAAUUGCUUAACUUGCUGUGAUUCUUGUGUAGGUGUUCAGGUGGAUGCAGAAACAGCGUUGGUAUAUCGCAGAUAAUGGAGUGUACUCGAAAUUGAUAUCCGUGAUGGGGAAAAAGGGUCAAACCCGGAUGGCAAUGUGGCUGUUUUCCGAGAUGAAAAACAGUGGUUGUCGUCCUGAUGCCUCUGUUUACAAUGCCCUCAUUACAGCUCAUCUUCAUACACGGGACAAGGCAAAGGCCUUGGAGAAAGUUCGUGGAUAUUUCGACAAAAUGAAAGGGAUGGAACGGUGUCAGCCCAAUGUUGUGACUUACAAUAUCCUUUUGAGGGCCUUUGCUCAAUCGGGUAAAGUGGACCAAGUUAAUGCUCUGUUUAAAGAAUUGGAUAUUAGCGCUGUUUCUCCAGACGUCUACACCUUCAACGGUGUUAUGGAUGCGUAUGGGAAAAACGGGAUGAUCAAAGAGAUGGAAUCUGUGCUUACUCGUAUGAGGAGUAACGAGUGUAAGCCAGAUAUCAUCACCUUUAAUCUGCUUAUUGAUUCCUAUGGUAAGAAGCAAGAGUUUGAGAAGAUGGAGCAGACUUUCAAGAGUUUAUUGCGGUCCAAGGAGAAGCCGACUCUGCCUACGUUCAAUUCAAUGAUUAUAAACUAUGGGAAAGCUCGCCGGAGAGAUAAGGCCGAAUGGGUUUUCGAGAAGAUGAAUGAUAUGAACUACAUGCCAAGCUUUAUCACGUAUGAGUGCAUGAUCAUGAUGUACGGUUACUGUGGCUCUGUUUCCAGAGCAAGGGAAAUGUUUGAGGAGGUUGUUGAAUCUGAAAGAGUGUUGAAGCCAUCAACGCUCAAUGCAAUGCUUGAUGUUUACUGUCUUAAUGGUCUUCACAUGGAAGCAGAUAAGCUAUUCCAUAGCGCAAGUGCUUUCCGGGUUCAUCCAGAUGCAUCCACGUAUAAGCUUCUAUACAAGGCGUAUACUAAGGCAGAUAUGAAGGAGCGUGUGCAGAUGCUGAUGAAGAAAAUGGAGAAAGAUGGAAUUGUACCUAAUAAGAGAUUUUUCUUGGAAGCCCUUGAAGUUUUCGGGUCAAGACUACCUGGAUCGGAUUCAGGAAGGAGGAAAUCAACUGGCUCUACCAGGCUACAAGACAGUGCUAAAGACUUACUGGAAAGCAAUUGACUGAAUAAACUAAUAAAGAUGUGAAACUGAAGAAACUUUGGUGGAUGUGAAUAUGACUUCAUACACUCCAACGGACGGUUUUAUCCAGUCAUUCCCCUGAAUCAUGGUUAGUUUUCUUCUUCUUCUUCUUCUUCUUCUUCUUCUUCUUCUUCUUUUCAAUACACAUCUGGAACUGAUAAUUUAUGUUCUUAUACAGAUGGUGACUUCUCUGUCACAACUUUACUAAAGUUCCAGAUUCUGUUGAAUUUUGUAUGCUUUAGACUAAUCGACAUUUUUGUCAUAUGAAUUCAGAAGCAGCAUUAGCAUGUUUGGGACACGAUUUCUUAGACUUGUUCAAGAUUGGAAAGGAAAACGGCAGAAAGAAGUAUUUGGAGAACUCGCGUGGAUAUGAUAAAUUUUCCAGAGCUGAAUCAAGAAAGCUUAGUCAAGAUUCAAGAAUAAGCAGCAGCCACUAUUUUCUUCAGAUCAAGAUGUACGAAAAGGGAAGAUCAAAGAGAAGAAAGAACUAUUCACUAUAUGGUCAUGUGAUCAAUUGGUAAUUUGUACACUAAAAGUUUUACAUACAAUAAAAAAACAAAACUUCAUUGCUGUGUGUCAUUUUAGAGGCUUAAAUUUCCAUAGCAUGCGGAAAAGAACAGACAAAAAAAUAGACCUCGCUUUUUGGAAUAUGAAUAGACUAGAUGCGUACAAGGUACACCAUCACACGUUCCAAACAUGUGAAGAAAUCAAGCACGUGUCUGUUGAACCUUUGCAAAAUCAAUUAUCACAUAGGAAGAACAAAUAUUCUGGUUGUAUCUAGUAACAUACCAUUUUUUUUUGACAUCAUCUAGUAACAUAGUACCAUUUAUAUAGCUCAUCAAAUCAAAUAUCAUCUCAUAUAAAAGGCCGGACUGUGAUAUUUAGACGAUUUUUUUUUAAAAAAAAAAAAACAGUUAUGUAAGGCCCAUACAUUCGCUUUUUUAAAAAGGGGGUGACAGAAAAAAACCAAAAAACUAAAAAAAGUCGUCGAAUUUUCUCAAAAAAAAAAGGUGUUUUUAUUCCACGAUCCACGAGGCUGUAAAAGACAACCAUGAUGAAGACGAGCACUUGGUUUUAUGACGGAUGACCAAUUAGCAAAAUUAGGAUUUUAAUUUUUUUUUGGCACGACCAAAUAGCACUUAAAUCCUUACAGGAUUUGCUUCAAGCCUUCAAAUAACCAUAACAAAGUCCUUUUUCGUAGUUGAAUAAAAAAUCUGUAAAAAUUAGUCAAAUUAUUAACUUGGAUUUGGAUUCAGAUCUUGCUGUAAACUAUUUUUGUAAGAUUUCUUGUUUACAUUUUGAUAGAGAGUCGUAUUAAUAUAAAUCCGCACCACGUAUAGCCAUGUGGAGUGUUGGACCAACUUGAUUGAUGACAUCGUUGAAUAUAACAGGUUGAAUAUUCUCCCUAAAAAAUUUAUAAUUAAAGACUUGACAUCAUUAAAAAAACUUUAUAAACGAGAUAAAAGAGUUUUUUAAAAGACUUCGCAACUUUUGUUAAAUGGAUAUAAAGGAACUCAAAUGAGACUUUCGGCCACAGACUACAAAAGUUCGUCUGAACAAUCUCUUGACGCCAAGGACGACAACUUCUGAGAAAAAGACGUCCGAUGAGUGGUAAGUUUUUGUUCUUCUUUUCCCGAUCCCUAUUCACUUAUUAGUUGGUUUAUUUUUUUGUUUGACAAACAGAAAAGAGAAGCUGGUUUAUUUUAUCAAGCCAAUUGAUUUUCUCACCUAAAAGUUGACUGGUUGCUACGGUAUCUAUUUACAAGCUCAACUGAUAAUGGAGAUUUUUCAGUUCCUCAAUUUUGUGAAUUGCUUCUUCAACAUUCCACUAAAUAUGUUAAGCAAAAAAACGAGUGAGAAGUUAGUUUAAAAGUGGCUGUUGAGUUUUCAUUUUUACGAAUUUCCACUCGGACUAAAUAAAUUCUGAGCUCAAAACACAAGAAAAAGUCUUUUUUUUUGUGUUGGGAAUCAAAUCAAAAGCUUUUUAGCUAUAUUUUGUGGUCAAUACAAAAAAAAAAAAAGAGUCUUUGGUGGGUUUUGAGCUUUUGCGUAUACGCGUGAUGACUGGUUUAAACUUAUUUCAAUAUUUGACUUAUCUCUUUUCGAUAUCUGGAGAAGUUCAAAUAUUCAAUUUUAUUUGUUCAACGAAUCUAUAGUCGUUUCAACGUCAAAGACAUCUGUGAGUAAUCUCUUGUUUGAUUCUCCAUUAAUCGCAGCAAUGUCGCUGGUCCGAACAGCGACGAUCGCUCUUAUUCUAAUCGCGUUUCUGCAAAACGCUGCGGCUCAGAAAAGACCGCAAAGUAUUGUUAAGUAUCGCGGUGCGGUUGCGACGGACGAUGGACGGUGUUCUGAAAUCGGGAUGAGUGUUCUUCGUCAAGGAGGAAACGCAAUUGAUGCGUCGGUGGCCGCUGCUCUCUGUUUGGGCGUUGUGAGUCCAGCGUCCAGCGGUAUAGGCGGUGGAGCGUUUACAGUGGUUAAAAUAGCAGGCGGGAAGGCAAUUGCUUAUGAUUCCAGAGAAACAGCUCCUCUCCACGCCUCAGAGGUAACUCAUUUUAGUAUUAGUGCCUUUCUUUCUUUUUUUCAUCUGUCAAGAUAUGAGUUUUGGCUAACGUUUUUGAAUCAAUGGCAAUCUUUGUUCUUGCUCUAGUGUGGAACGUUUAUGGGGGUAAUAGCGUUUCUUAGCUUUCUUAAAAAUUUAUUUUGAACGCGGUCUUGAGCCAGAAUAGCGUUUUAAAACAUAAUUUCUUUUUAAAUAAGCGUUUUAAUGCAAUCUUGAGCCUAGACAGCUUUUCUUAACGUUUUUUCCUGAUAAAUAAGUGUUUGAACGUGUUUUUAAGAGCUUACAUCAGCGUUUAUAACAUCUCUUCCUCUGAUAUAAGCGUUUUUAACGCUAUUAUUUUUUAGCUUAAAUAGCGUCUCCAUAACGUUUUUGAAUCAUAGAUUGUUCUAUACUUGUUACUCUUGAUGUAGAAAUGUACAAUUUUUCCUCUGAUUAAAUAUGGCAUUUGAGCUUAGAUAGCGUUUUCCUUAACGUUUAUAUAUCAUCGACAGUCUUGGUUAUAUUAAAUAUGUAAUAUAUGGUAUCUUAACGUUUCUUCCUCUUGAAUAUAUAACGUUUUUUUAAAAUGUUUUCUCUUAUCUUUUUGUAGGAUAUGUAUGGAGGAAAUCUUGAUCUAAAGAAGAAAGGAGCCUUAUCAGUAGGAGUUCCCGGGGAAGUGGCGGGUCUUUUCAUAGCUUGGAAACAGCACGGAAAGCUCCCGUGGAAGCGGUUAGUGAGACCUGCAGAGAAACUUGCGAAAGGGUUCAGGAUUUCAAAGUAUCUGUAUAUGCAGAUGAACACGACUAGAAGUGAUAUCUUAGCAGACAAAGGUCUCUCUGCGCUAUUUGUUUCAAAUGGAGAGCUCAAGAAACCUGGGACGAUUAUCUGUAACCCAAAACUGGCUUUAACACUGAGGCAAAUCGCAGAGUAUGGUCCAAAAGCGUUUUACAAUGGCACGGUUGGGGUAAACCUAGCGAGAGAUAUCCUUAAGUCUGGAGGGAUAAUAACUUUGAAAGAUCUACAAAGUUACAGAGUUAAGGUUAAAGAACCGUUGUCCACAGACAUUCUCGGAUACAGACUACUCGGGAUGCCUCCUCCUUCAUCCGGCGGCGCUGCAAUGAUGCUUGUAAUUCCAUUUUCUUUGGCGAAAAUUUCAGGCUUUUUUAAUCUAAUUAAGGUUUUUACAGAGUUUCUUGUGUUGCAGGUAUUGAACAUUAUUUCUCAAUAUGGGAUUCCAACAGGUGUUUCGGGCUCUCUCGGUGUUCAUCGACUAAUCGAGGCUCUGAAACACGCUUUCGCGAUCAGAAUGAACCUUGCAGAUCCGGAUUUCGUCAAUGUUACUAAGGUUGUUUCGGAUAUGCUGUCUUCAAAGUUUGCAAAAGACUUGAAAAGAAAGAUAAACGAUGAGAAAACCUUUGAUCCAAAAUAUUAUGGCGGCAUGUAAGGUUUUUCAUCACUUGAAACCCGCUGAUUUCAUUUAUGAUUCUUGAUUUAUCAAUCUUUCUUUCUCCAAUCGUAGGUGGAAUCAAAUUGAUGAUCACGGGACAAGCCAUUUAUCGAUCAUAGAUCACGAGAGGAACGCUGUUUCGAUGACUAGUACAAUAAACGGUUACUUUGGGGCAUUGAUGCUCUCUCCGAGCACCGGAAUCGUUCUGAACAAUGAAAUGGACGAUUUCUCGAUCCCGAUGAAAACCAGCGGUAAUAUAAAUGUUCCGCCACCGGCACCGGCUAACUUCAUCCGUCCCGGGAAACGACCCUUGUCCUCAAUGACACCCACCAUUGUACUCAAGGUUAGAAAAAAACCCUAUUACUUGUGAUACAAGAAAUUCUUGUUUAGGCUCCAAACGACUGUGUUUAUGCACUUGCUUACGUACGCAGGACGGUAAAGUGAAAGCCGCUGUUGGUGCGAGCGGAGGAGCGAACAUCAUCGCCGGGACAACGGAAGUUUUCUUGAAUCAUUUUUUCCUCAAGAUGGAUCCUCUUUCUUCCGUCUUGGCUCCAAGAAUCUACCAUCAGGUUUUUGGCUUUUUGUUUCCUCUACUCGAAAGUAGAAGCUAUCUUGUUCUUUACUCAUAACUAAGAAUGUCUUUUUGUAAUUUCAUUUUCAGCUGAUACCAAACCGAGUUACGUUUGAAAAUUGGACGACAGUAUUCAGUGAUCAUUUCGAGGUUCCUAAAGAGACAAGAGUCGUGUUGGAGAAGAAAGGUCAUGUCCUAACGCCGAUUGCAGGAGGGACGAUUGCUCAGUUCAUAGUUGAAGAAUCCGGUGAAAAUUCUGGCGGAAGAAGUGAGCUUGUGGCGGUAAGUGAUCCAAGAAAAGGAGGGUUCCCUUCAGGAUAUUGAUAUCGGAUUUGAUUUUUUCCACUGUUUCUUGCAUCGAACUUGUGAUGAAUAUUUUUUUUUUUGUAAACUACUUGUGAUGAAUAUUAAAAUCUAUUUUUUUUUUUUCUGCGAUAAUAAUUGAUCCAGAUGAUUUUUUAAAAACUCAAUAUUCUUAAUCAAACAUUAUUGGCAUCGUUCUUUUAACAUCAACCGUAAUAUGGAGUUAUAUUUUAACUCAAAGAAAAAAUUAAGACAAUACUAUAUAUAGUAGUACUUUCUUUCAAUCCAUCUUGAACCCAAUCUCACUCUAAGAUCGGUUUGAAAUAUGAGCUUAUGUUAAAUUUCAUAAUUUUUUUAACUCAAAACUAAGUGAAAAACUAUAGACAGAUUUACCCAUUUUAUUAUUUUAAAGAGAAGAGCCAAAGAGAAACAUUAUUAAUUAUUAAGACUUAGCGUACUCUAUUAUCAAAAAAAAAAAAGACUUAACGUACUCUAAAGAACAUUUUUAACAUGACUAGAAAAUGAUAUUUUUAAAAGACUUGCAGCUUUUGAAAAGUGUAAAAUUCAUAUUUCUUCCUUCCAAAAAAGCUAAAAUGAGACUUUUGAUACCACAUAGUCUUUUUUUUUUUUAAAAAAAUUAGGGCAUGACCUUUUUCAUGUGAUUUGGCCAAAACGAAGAGUUCAUGAUUUGGUUGUUUAGAAAGGGGCCUAGACGUUUAGACAACCGAACUUUAGAACACAGGUUAGUUUUUUGGGCGGAUAUGACUCAAGAUACAAGAAAAUGAAAAAAAAUCUUCAUCUCUUGGAAUUUGGAAAUCAAAUCUAAGUUUUGAGUGUGUUUUUUUAGUUUGGUGUGUUCAAGGCAGUAAUAUAAAAAGUCUUUGCUGGUUUUGAGCUUUUUUAGACCAAUAUACGUUUUCAAGAUUUUGUUAAACGUUUUCAGUAAUUUGACUAACCUCUUUUCAAUUUCUCGGGAAGCCUAUUGGGAUAAGGAUUUAUUGUUGUUAUAAGUACAGAAUAGUAUAGAUAACCCCUGAUUUUAGUUGAGAGAGGUUUAAUGUUAAAUACCUUGUAAGUUGUAUCGUUUGUGAAUACAAGAAAAAAGCUUUUCCAAUUCUAAUAAAUCUCUCUUUACAAAAGCGAAUCUGUAAAGUUGUCGCUUAAACGUUAAAGAUCAUCUGUAUCUAUGUGUCCCUUCUGAUUCAUCUCUUUUCGAAUUCUCCACUGAUCGUAGCAAUGACGCUGGUUCGAACAGCGACGAUCGCUCUUCUCAUAAUCGGAUGUCUUCAAAAUUCUGCGGCUAAGAAAAGACAGCAUAGUAUUGUAAAGUAUCACGGUGCGGUCGCAACGGACGAUGGACGGUGUUCUAAAAUCGGUAUGAAAGCUCUUCGCCAAGGAGGAAACGCGAUUGAUGCGUCGGUCGCCGCUGCUCUCUGUUUGGGCGUUGUGAGUCCAGCGUCUAGCGGUAUAGGCGGUGGAGCGUUUACAGUGGUUAAGAUAACUGGUGGGAAGGAAAUAGCUUAUGAUUCUCGAGAGACCGCUCCUCUCCGCGCCACUGAGGUAACUAAGUAUUUUGAACGCGAUUUUGAGCUUAUGCCAAUAUAGUGUUUCUUAACAUUUCUUCCUUUUAAAUAAGUGUUUUGAACGGUAUCUUUAAAUAAAAUAUCGGUUCCGAAAAAAGUUUCAAUCAUAGAUCGUUCUUAAUAAUUACUCUCGAUGUAGAAAUGUAUGCAUGUAAUAGUGUUAAGAAACAUUUAUUUCCCCUGAUUAAAUAUGAACUGAGCUUUGAUAGCGUUUUCCUUACUGUUUAGAAGUCAUUGACAGUCUUGUUUUUUCUUUUGAUAUUGAGUACGUGAUAGGGUUUCUUAAUUGUUUUCUUUUCUUCUGAUAAAAUACUCAUUUUGAACACGGAAAUUGAGGUUAUAUAGCGUUUUCAUAGACGAUUUUCAACCAUAGGCCUUUUUUGGUUUUUCGUUUUUUUAUCUUGAUGUAGGAUAUGUAUGGAGGCAAUCUCGAUCUUAAGAAGAAAGGAGCCCUAUCAGUAGGAGUUCCCGGAGAAGUGGCGGGUCUAUUCACGGCCUGGACACAACAUGGAAAGCUACCAUGGAAGCGGUUAGUGAAGCCCGCAGAGAAACUUGCGAAAGGGUUCAGGAUUUCAAAGUACCUGCAUAUGCAGAUGAACGUGACUAGAGGCGAUAUCUUAGCAGACAAAGGUCUCUCUGAGCUAUUUGUUUCAAAUGGAGAGCUCAAGAAACCAGGGAUGAUUUGCCGAAACCCAAAAUUGGCUUUAACGCUUAAGCAAAUCGCAGAAUACGGUCCAAAAGCAUUUUACAAUGGUACGGUUGGUAUUAACCUAGCGAGAGACAUCCGUAAGUCUGGAGGGAUAAUAACUUUGAAAGAUCUACAAAGUUACAGAGUUAAGGUUAAAGAACCGUUGUCCACAGACAUUCUCGGAUACAGACUACUCGGGAUGCCUCCUCCUUCAUCUGGUGGCGCUGCAAUGAUGCUUGUAAAGUUUCAGUCUUUUGUGAAAAAUAACCACAUCCUAUCAAACCUAAGUUUACUAAAGGAUUUUACGGAGUUUCUUGUGUUGCAGGUUUUGAAUAUUCUUUCUCAAUAUGGGAUUCCAUCGGGUGUUUCUGGCACUCUCGGUGUUCAUCGACUAAUUGAGGCUCUGAAACAUGCUUUCGCGGUUAGAAUGAACCUUGGGGAUCCAGAUUUCGUUGAUGUUACGAAGGUUGUUUCCGAUAUGCUGUCUCCAACGUUUGCGCAAGACGUGAAGAGAAAGAUAAACGACGAGAAAACAUUUGAUCCCAAAUAUUACGGUGGCAAGUAAGUUUUUUUUUCGAUCUAUUAAAAAUUUAAAAUCCACCGAUUUUCAGCUUCUUCCAUUCUUGAUUUAAUCAUCAAUCCUUUCUCCAACUCGUAGAUGGAAUGAGAUUAACGAUCACGGGACGAGCCAUUUAUCGAUCAUAGAUAGCGAGAGGAACGCUGUUUCGAUGACUAGUACAAUAAACGGUUACUUUGGGGCAAUAAUGCUCUCUCCGAGCACCGGAAUUGUUCUGAAUAACGAAAUGGACGAUUUCUCGAUCCCAAUGAAAUCUAGCGGUGGCCAAGAUGUGCCGCCACCGGCACCGGCUAACUUCAUCCGUCCCGGGAAACGACCUUUGUCCUCAAUGACUCCCACCAUUGUGCUCAAGGUUAAAGUAAAAACGUGUUACUUGUGCUAUAAGAAAACUCUGCAUUAGGGUUGUAACUCUAAACGACAGUUUUUUUUUCUGCUUUGGUUUCCACAGGACGGUAAAGUGAAAGCUGUGGUGGGUGCGAGCGGAGGAAUGUAUAUCAUCGCUGGAACGACGGAAGUUUUCUUGAAUCAUUUUUUCCUCAACAUGGAUCCUCUCUCUUCCGUCACGGCUCCAAGAAUCUACCACCAGGUUUUUGCUUCUUCCCUUUUUUUUUUUUUAACCCAAAAUAUAAUUUGUUAUUUAUUGUUCAUAACUAAAAAAUCUGUUAUUAUGAUUUUACUCUGCAGCUGAUACCAAACAUGAUUUCGUAUGAGAACUGGACUACGGUUUACAAUGAUCAUUUCGAGAUUCCUAAAGAGACAAGAGUUGUGUUGGAGAAGAAAGGUCAUGUCCUAACGCCGUUAUCCGGAGGAACGAUUUCUCAGUUCAUAGUUCAAGAAACCGAUGGAAAUUCCGGCGAAUUGAAUAAGCUCGUGGCAGUUAGUGAUCCUAGAAAAGGAGGUUUCCCUUCAGGAUAUUGAGUUUGGAGUUAACUCUGUUCCAUUUUUUAUUGCAUCAUUAACCUUUAAUAAAUACAUAAUAAAAUUUAUUUGGUUAGCCAGAAUAUUGAUCCAGAUAUUUUUUUUCUUCCAUCGUAACAAUAACUAAAACAAAAAGAAAGGAUAAGUGUAAGUCCGAUAAAUAUUGAACCAGAAAAAUAUGAAUUUAAAAAAAAAAAAACUCAUUAACGGUAUAAAAAGAAUACAGUAUUUUGUUCCUUUACUUUUUACUUUGUAGGUUCCUUUCAUAUUGAAAACCUAAAAAAAACUCGACACACAUGCUCUUCUCUGAUUGCAUCGUACGCCAUGAGAGGUAUGAUUCAAGCAAAGCCAAACGCUGGCCAGCCGACACCGACGUACUCCACCGGUGGCGGCGGACGGAAGAAAGGCGUGUGCGUGAGGCCGUGGUUGGUGCUUUACUCAUCAGGGGACGAGCCGAAGUUGAUUGGGAAACACGACAUCAUGCGACGAACGGGUUUACCGGCGCGAGAUCUUCGGAUUCUAGAUCCACUGUUGUCGUAUCCAUCAUCUGUUUUGGGUAGAGAGAAAGCGAUCGUCGUCAACCUCGAGCAUAUUAAGACAAUCAUCACCCCGCAAGAGGUUUUCCUGCUUAACUCCGGUGAUCCUUUGGUGUCACCCUUUAAAUACGAGUUACAGAGGCGGAUUCUCUGCCACCAUCAUGUCUCUAAACCUCAGGUGACUUUAGGGUUUAUGUUUUUUCACUCUUCGUUCGGAGGAAAUAUUUGGAAGUCUCUUUUUGGUUUUUGCUUUCCUAUAUUUUCUCCUUGUGGAAUAUAUCAUUGGCUUGUUAAUAUUUGCAAUAGAGAGAGGAGAGAGGGUUCAUCUGAUACCCUUAAUUAGAUAUGAUACAUAACUUUUGCAAGUUUUAAGUUGUUAGUUAACUUCUACAAAAUUGGUUAAAAUACUAAUAAUUGACCUCACUACCAUGAUGAAUUUAUAAGUGUAUCUCAUCCUUAUUUGGUUCAUUUUUUUUAUCCUUUUUUAAUUUUAUUUUUAGAAAAACUUAACAUUUUUUCUAACAAAUCCAAAACCUCAUUCUCGCUCUUCUUACGUGUCCAGUAUAUAAUGCUUAGUUUUUCAAAGUUAUAUUCUCUCUUCUUGCUGGCUUUUUUUUCAUAAAUAAUAAUCUUUCUUUCUUUGUAUGCCUUGUGUAAAGGAGGAAGAGAACUCUGAGGGAGAGGCUCAUAUAUAUACGAGAAUAGAUCCUUCCCAAGGAGAAGCUGGAACGCCACAAUUGUUUGGAAACCAAGGGAGUGAUGUAGCCAAGAAAGAUGCGAAGCAAAGUCUUGAGAAUCAAGAUGGAUCAAAGGUUCUUCCGUUUGAGUUCGUUGCUUUGGAAGUCUGUCUUGAAUCUGCAUCCAGCAGUCUGGAACAAGAGGUAAAUCUAUAUAUACUUGUGUUAAGACUAAUUAUCACAGAGGUAUUUUCAGCCAUAUCUUAUUCUAAUGUAGGCCUUGAGAUUGGAGUUAGAGGCUCAUCUAGCCUUGGACAAACUUACUUCCAAGAUCAGUACCUUCAACUUGGAGCAGGUUCUACAGAUUAAAACCAGGCUGGUUAAUAUAACCGGACGUGUUCAGAAGGUAUUCUAAUUCAGACUUUCCCAUAGCUUCUUUGAUUUUUAUGAUUAAUACAAAUUUUUGUUCUUUCUAAGUUGUGAACCUAAGAGGUGGCCAUAUUCUAAACCAUGCAUGUUUGCCUAUUACUUAACACCUUCUUUCUCUUCACGUGUAUAUAACCUACCUACCUGCAUGUUCUAGGUUAGGGACGAACUAGAACAUCUUCUAGACAAUGAUGAAAAUAUGGCUCAGAUGUAUCUUACGGAGAAGCUAGCACAAGAAGUUGAGAAUUCAGAUCUUCUUGAAGGAGACGAGGAGGACAGGCAUGUACCAACUUUCUGAACGUACUUUCUUUCGAUUAUUCUGAUAUAAGUAUAACAUAUCUGCUUAAUUUUUAACCACAACAUGUCAGGCUUGCAUCGGAGGCUAACAGAGAUGAAAGCUAUCUUAAAGCAAAUGAUGCUCACGAUCUUCUCACGAGUGAACUCAACGGAAACAGCCGUGGGACUCAUGCAAGCCCAACCCGGAGUGCCAUGAGCUACAAAUUCAAUAUUAAAGAGCUUGAAAUGCUUUUGGAACCAUAUUUCGUGCAGAUCGAUGGAACACUGAACAAACUAUCAACAGUAAGUAAUUCAAACACAGAGAGUGGUCACUUGAUCUUGUCGGUGAUUCAAGAACUUGUUCUUAUCCAUUGUGGUGUUGUGUUGUUUUGAUGAAAGCUAAAGGAACAUGUGGAUGACACAGAGGACUACAUCAAGAUAAAGCAAGAUGGCGAACAGAAUCGUCUUUUGCAAAGUAAUGUGAAGGCAACAACAGCUACUCUGUUGCUUAAUGCCUUUAUAGUCGUUGCCGGAGUGUUCGGUAUGAAUAUAAGCAUAGAGCUGUUCAAAGAUGAGAAAAAUGGUCCAAUGAUAUUCCUUUGUAUUUCGCUUGGAUCUAUUUUUGGUUGGCUAUUCCUCUACGCUGUUAUCAUUCGCUGGUUUAAGUACAAGCGCUGGAUCAUUGAAUGACUCUACCACACAACAUUUAUACUGUAUUGUGUGAAAAAUGUCCCAUGCCCUUUGUUUUUGAGGCUUUUACUCAUCUGACUAAAGAGUUGCGUUAUCUUUUUCUUUGUUAUUUUUCAAUAAUAUUUUAAUUAAUUAAUCAAUUCGAGGAUAGAUAGAUAUCUCGUCGGAUACUCCGCCUCUAGUCAGUGACACGUCAUCAAUCAAUAAAGCAGAGGAUAAUCGGCGGUGAUGUGUCAGCAUGGAAUCUUAUUUAAUUGACGUUGUUAGGUAGGAAUCUCUUUUUGAGAAUCGUAUCGAUACGUCGUCGUUUAUAAAAUAUUGUGAUUAACUCCAGUAUUAAUCUUACUGACAGUCGUAUAAAUACACUGUGAUUUUGCUACCUAACUUGUCAAUUAUCUCUCUCUCUUUAGUUUUUAAGUUAUGGCUUUACGGAGGCAACUUCUCAAGAGAGUCGUCGAUAGAGCUUCAAAUAUCCAUCAUCAUCUCCCUGCGAUCUCACUCCUCCGCUCUGAGUUCUCCACGUCUCAUUCUUUUGCCGAUGCUCCGCCGCAGCUUCCGCCGUUCGAUUACCAGCCGCGGCCGUAUAAAGGUCCUUCCGCCGAUGAAGUUUUCCAGAAACGGAAGAAGUUUCUCGGACCCUCUCUUUUCCAUUUCUACCAAAAGCCUGUACGUCCGUUUUUUUCUUUCCCAAUUUUCUCUUCGUGAUUUGUCGUAUUCUGCUGAAAUCAAAUACUAGGAUUGAAAUUCUAUAUGUUGGUUGUGUCUAUCGCAUUUGUUCAGGGACUAAUAAGCGUCUUUGGAUUCGUGAAUCUCCGGAUUUUUGCAUAUUUAUGAUCAAUUGUUAGGGUUCCGCUUGUUCUAACCGUAGGAGCCCACAAAUCGAUUUGUGUGAACUGUGAAGUAAAUUAGCUUGCGUUUGAUCAAUUUAACUCUGCUUGUGAAUUCGUAAGUGUUCGCUUGGUCCUGAUUGCAUUUAUUUUUAUCGUCAGCUCGAUCCAUGUGAUGACACUUGGAUCUGAUUUGAUACUGGUUUUGUGGUUAAUGUUCUAUCCUCCUGUAUUUGUUUUGCAGCUUAACAUCGUUGAAGGGAAGAUGCAGUACUUGUUUGAUGAGACUGGUAGGCGAUAUCUGGAUGCCUUUGCUGGAAUAGUCACAGUCUCAUGCGGUCACUGCCAUCCCGACAUUCUAAAUGCUAUUAACGAACAGAGCAAGCUUCUUCAGCAUGCGACCACCAUAUACCUGCAUCAUGCCAUUGGCGAUUUCGCUGAAGCAUUAGCUGCUAAGAUGCCUAGAAAUCUAAAGGUACUUGAGAUUUAAGGAAAGAGCUCGUGAAGAAUGAUGUAGUUAGGUUAGGUUUCUGUAUUUGCUUUGUCGAGGAAUCAGCAAGCUUCACUAUUUGGGUGCAGGUUGUGUACUUUGUAAAUUCUGGCUCAGAAGCUAAUGAGCUAGCAAUGAUGAUGGCUAGGCUUUACACCGGUAGCCUUGAGAUGAUUUCAUUGAGAAAUGCUUAUCAUGGUGGAAGUUCUAAUACUAUUGGACUAACAGCUCUUAACACAUGGAAAUACCCAUUACCACAGGUUUGUCCCCAAGACUUUCAUUUCCCGGAAAAUCGACUUGAUUCCUGAUAUUCAUAUGCACUAAAAUAGAGAUAUCGUCUUUAGCUUCGGUUUCUGCCUCUUCGCGCUUGGGUGACCAUAUAUAUUUCUGAAAUUUAAGGCAUAGUCUUUUACUUCACCUUUACCCACGUUUUAGAACCUUCAGAAUAAAAGUCUCUGCAAUAUAUUUCUCUACGAUAGCGUGUUUGCCAACUCUGUUAUUGUGCAGGGUGAAAUCCACCACGUCGUAAAUCCAGAUCCAUACCGUGGAGUAUUUGGGUCUGAUGCUUCUCUUUAUGCAAAAGAUGUGGAAGACCAUAUUCAAUAUGGUACUUCUGGAAAAGUGGCUGGUUUCAUCGCGGAGACCAUCCAGGUUUUUAUCUGAAAGAACCAUCAGAUUACUUUAAACUAUUGUCUUUUGAUUUACCGCUCUCUCGAGCAUCAUCUUCACCUCGCCAGAAUCUUUUCCACUGCAGGGGGUCGGAGGAGCUGUAGAAUUGGCUCCUGGUUACUUAAAGUCGGUUUAUGAAAUUGUACGCAACGCUGGUGGUGUAUGCAUUGCCGAUGAAGUCCAAACUGGAUUUGGCCGGACAGGAAGUCACUAUUGGGGUUUCCAGACUCAGGAUGUAGUUCCUGACAUUGUCACAAUGGCAAAGGUUUGUCAAAAGAAGUUCUUACCAUUUGAGAAUCAUACGACUACAUUGACUGUUAUUUACUUCACAAAAAGGUGGUGUGUAAUCUUACUGACCAUUGGUACCUGUUGUAUUCACAGGGAAUUGGAAAUGGAUUGCCAUUAGGAGCUGUAGUGACUACACCAGAAAUCGCGAGCGUUUUAGCCACGAAGAUUCAGUUCAACACUUUUGGGGGAAACCCGGUUUGUUCAGCUGGUGGACUUGCUGUUUUAAACGUUAUCGACAAGGAGAAACGUCAAGCACAUUGUGCUGAAGUUGGUUCACACCUUAUUCCACGUUUGAAAGAUCUGCAGAAAAGACAUGAUAGUAAGUAAACAGAACAAUCUUUGAGCUUUUUAUCAGAUCAUUACUCUGUUUUUACUUAACCUCGUCUGUUUGUGGGAUUCAGUCAUUGGGGAUGUGAGAGGAAGGGGAUUAAUGGUUGGGAUCGAGCUUGUGACUGACCGGAAGGACAAGACACCAGCCAAGGCUGAAACAGCUGUCUUAUUUGAGCAACUUAGAGGUAACCAACAUUAAACAACAUUUGAAAGCCAAUGCAUCGACUGCCUAACGAAAAUCUUGCUAUUUUCUCUUAAUGAAGAACUUGGGAUUCUCGUUGGAAAAGGAGGACUGCAUGGUAAUGUUUUCAGGAUAAAGCCACCAAUGUGUUUCACCAAAGACGAUGCAGGUAAAUUCAUGAUAAUUUUUUUGAUUUUUUUUUUUUCAAACGAGAUGUGUAUGUUAUGUAAUGAGUUUUGUUUUGUAUCCACAGAUUUCUUGGUAGAUGCAUUGGACUAUUCCAUGUCGAGGUUGUGAAGGACGAAAGAAAGUGAAUUCUUAAACGUAUGAUCUGUUUUAAUGUUUCUCUGUUCUUUGUUAUGAACCAAUCCAACUCUCUCUUCCUUUGAUUUGAGAAUAAAUAAAUAAAAUUUCUUCCCCUGAGUAAGUAUACUAGAUGAUGAUGCCCCGUAGAUCCGUGACUAUAACAUAUACAACACUGAAUUAACAAGGCAAAUUCUUAAUUGAGUGCAAUCACCUCCAAUUACAUUUAUUCUAUAUCCUCUUUCUCUCACCAAAAUAGCUGCAAGCAUUUAUAGCCAUUCUUUAUAUAGUUAAAUUUUCCAUUAUAAAAAAAAUGGUUCUCACCUGUGAUUGAUUGGUGAACCCGUAAGUGUUGCGAAAAGUCACGUCCCAAAAACAUAAGCGCAGAACCAUUUUUUCGCAAGUGUAAACAAACCAUCACGAUCAGAAAAAGUUUUCAACAUUUCAAGCAAUCGUGGCGAAGCUAUAUAAAAAGGAGGAGGAGGAGGAGGAGGAGAGAAAGAAAGUAAUGGAGGAAGAGGAGGAAGAAGAAGAAGACACGUUCGAGGAUGCCGUGUGCACCACGACACCCGCCAGAGUGAACAACACGCCUUUGUCGGUUAUCACCGAGGCGUUCGAAGAUCUAGCGGAUCUGCUGAAACCAGCCGGAUCAAUAAUUCAAGAGGACGGAUUAAGGCUUGAUGCUUUCUGCAAUGCGUGCACUCACGUCUCUGUUCUCUUCAGCUGCCUCGGAUUCGCCUUCAAAUUCGCUGAAAUGGAGUACGUCUCCAAGGUUAAGGAUUUGGUGGAAGCCUCGAAAACGUUCGACACGUUACAGAACAUAUUGGAUCUAGACGUGGAGAAAGACACGGUCAAAACACCAGGAAGCCAUUCGCGUAACCUAAGACGCGUGAGACAAGGCUUAGAUCUAAUCCGAGCAAUCUUCGAACAGUUCUUGAUGACAGAUGAAUAUUCUUUGAAAGACGCUGCGACAACAGCUUACACAGAAGUCUGCGCACCGUUUCAUACAUGGGCCGUUAGAACCGCUGUUUACGCCGGAAUGUAUACACUUCCGACGAGGGAUCAACUUCUGUUACGGCUUAACGAAACGGAUCAAUCUGUUGAGAAGAACAUGAGGAGGUACAUGGAAGCGUCACGUCCGAUCAUAGAGUAUAUUGAUAAACUUUACAUUGAAAGGGAUAUUAAAUUGGACUGGUAACAAUUUUAAUUUGUUUUUUUCAGUUGUCCUUGUAAAUAGUUUUCUUUUUCCCUUGUAAAUUUUAAUUGGAACUUUUGUCAGAGGCCAAGCAAAGAAAUGUUUGUAACUAUUAUGUAAUGUGUUAAGCAAAUUAAAACGUCCUCAAAAUAAAUGAAAAACAAAAAAAAAAAGAAAUUAUAUUCCUUUCAUCUACUUUUGAUUACCAUCAGUUUCAUGUGUCGUGAUUUCUGGCUUAGUCAGCGUCAUUUUUCAAUAUCACUUAGGUAUUGAAUCCAGAAGUUUGAUUGAAGGAAUUAAGAUUUCGAUGAAAUUCUUGUGUUAUUUAAUGAAGUAUUCCAUCCAUUCUUUUAAAUGUAACUAAAUUCUAACCCGUGUAUCCGCACGAGAAUAUUUUUUAUUGUUUAACGAAUUUUGUAAUAUAAUUUGUGUUUUUGAGUUUAGAUAUAAUUAUUUUUUAUAAAUAUAUUUUUUAAUAAGCGAAAAUAUUGAUUUUUUAAAUAUAUUUUUAUAGUAUUAAAAUUAAUUAUGAUUAUAAAAUAUAAUUUUAACCCGUCCGCUAAUAUUAAUUCAAAAUGAAUUAUUAUAAAAACAUAAUUCUAAUUUUUCCGUUCAUAUUACCGUAUAAUAUAAAUAUUUGUUAAAAGUUUGAGAUGUAUUAACAAUAUUAUUUAGCAUUAUAGUUUUCUAAAAUUUAAUCAACGAAGAGAGUGUACAACUGGUUUUUCAAACCACAUUAUAGUGUAUGCAAUAAUUUUUAAUUUUUUAUGUUUUAAUUUUGUAUGAAAAAUAUAUUUUUGAUAUACAUGUAUAAUUCAAAAUUAGUGAUAUUAGUUACCAAAAUAUUUUUAACCCGGUUUUUUAUAUAUAUUUUUUAGUUCUAUGAAUUUUAAAAAAUAUAUUUUUAAUAUUUAAAUUAUACGUUUGAAUUUUAACAAUUAUUUUAUUAUUAAUUUGUAAACAAUUCAUAAUCGUAAAUAUAUUAUAUAAACAACAUAAAUAUCAUAUCAUUUACAUCAUUAUAAAUAUUUUAUAUUUCAAAUAUGACCAUUAUUUUUCAUAUGUGAAUUUUUUUUUUCAAAAAUUCUAGAUAUUUUGGAUAAAAAUGUUUAAUAGUAUAGAAAUUAUUUAAAUUAGAAUCUUUAAAUCAAAUCUAAAUUAAUAUCUGAUUUAUUAUUUUUAAUCAAAUCAAAUCAAAUCUAAAUUAUCUAUAUUUAAAGAACUCUAAAAAUAUUUAAAUUAAUAACUAAUUUUCGAAAUUAAAUAUAAAUUAUUUUUAAAAUUAUUUUAAAUACUUAAAAAAAAUUUGGAGUGUUUGGAAGCAAAUACUAAAUGUGCUUAUGUUUUAAUAUAAUAUAAUAUAGAUGUGUUAUUAGAUUCAGUAUGUUUAGUCAUUCUUUCAAAAUACAAUUUACUGUUAUUCAAUCUAUUAGUUUUUUUUACUGUUAUUCGAUCAAUUUUACUGUUAUUCAAUCCUUUCAUAUUUGAUGUCUUUUUUGAGAAAUUGAAUUUCAAAUGUUGUUCAUUCUAUAUCAUUAAAUAUUAUUUGCUUUUAAACUUUUCUAAAACCUCUUCUGAAAAAUAAACUUUUAUAAGAACUCAAAACUGGUUUUGUCUUGAAUUUAUGGAAAUUUAAUAAUAUAUAUAUUUUUUUUUAAUAAUUAUAUCUAUGUACACAAAAAAAUAACCAAUUCAAAAUGCAUAGAUUUUAGAGAAAUUUGUCCCUAUUAAAAUUCUUUUGCAUUCUGGUCAAAUCUUGGAAAAACUCUUUUGCAUUCUUAAACAUAAAAGUUAACAAAAUUCCAUCAAAUCCUUUUAAACACGAGAACUUCUAUUGCUAUCUCUUCAAUUGAAUUCUUUCAGAUUCAAUUAAAUGUCUAGAUUCAACUAAAUUCCAUCAAAUCUUUAGACUUUUUACGUUAAGUUUUAACCUGACAGAUGUUUAAAAUUUUCCGAUAUUUGCAAAAAUCUUUAUUAAUUCCUGUAAAAAGCGAUUUAUUAUAAUAAAUAAGGUAUUAACACUUACAGUCCACACCACAUACACCAGGAUUCCCCACUAACAUAUAUAUUAGUCUAUACAUUUAGUAGGUCGAAAUAUUAAUACACUCAUACGUUUUUUUCAAUAUCAGACUUGAAUUUCAGUAGAAGACUGCCAAAGCAAUAAAAUCAUUGAAGAUUGGACCUACAAAUGACAGAUGUGUAAUACUCCCUCUGUUCAGAAUUAUUUGAUGUUUUAGAAGGUUUUUUUUAUUCAGAAUUAUUUGAUGUUCUCACUUUUCAAUGCAAAAUUUAAUGAAUUUUUAUAGUUUUUGAUCUUUUAUAUUCUGCAGAUUGUCUUAUUAUUGGCUGAAUGAUAUUUAAAUGAAUUAUAAAUAAUAUUUUUAGUAUAGAAAAAAUAAAAAUUAAAUGAAUCCUUAAACUGUGUGCAAAAACCUUAAACAUCAAAUAAUUCUGAACAGAGGGAGUAUUACUUAAAAACUUGUAGAUACACAAAGAUGUGUAAAUUUUUAGUCAAAGAUGUGUAAUAUUACUUCCCUAAUAUUAAUAUUUUAGUCAAAGAUGUGUAAUUAAUAUUACUUCCCUAAUUGUAAUAUUUUAGUAAAAUGAUCGAUUUUUAAAUUUUUAUAAUCUCACUAUUUAUUUCUUGAACUAUAUAUAACAAGUGAAAUAUAAAAACUCCAAACAUAAUCUCUGAAUACGAAAAAUGGAAGUCAAGAGAUCAUCUACCUCUCCUCUACUUUUGGUUACCAUCAUGAUCAUGAUCAUCAUUUCUGGUUAGUCCUUUUCAUUGGUUUUGAAGACGAAAGGGAAAUUUAGCUAACUAAAGUUUCCGUAAUAGCAUAUUUUAGCUGACUAAAAGACUUGUUUCAGCAUUAAAAUUUGACUAAAUAUUACUAUUAGGGAAAUUUAGCUGAAAGGGAUACUUAUCCCACAUCUUUGUGUAUCUGUUGUACAUUUUUUUGUAAGAAAUUUAGAUUAUUAGUUUUUUUUUUUUUGAAAGCGAGGUUAAUGGUACUUGACUCGUGUCCAGGAUUGAAAUUCACUUUCUUGUCGAAUAAACACAUAUUUAUUUGCCCAAGACUACUUACUGAAUGUCUCUCUCUCUCUCUCUACUCUUCUGUUUAUUGAAUUUUCAGGACCAAUAUCAGUCGAUGCAAAAUGUAAACAUCCGGUCGGACCGUAUACGGAGUCAUGCUUUACGGAUUGCGUAACCGGAAAAUACGGAUAUGAAUAUGAAUCCGCUUUUUGCGUACGUAACAAGACUGGAACUUGUAUGGUAUGUUGCUGCGAGAAAAUCAACGAAGUGUAACCAGAGUUGGAUUUAAGAAUUUGAGGGUUAUAAACAAUUUAAGAGUAAUAUUAAUAAAAAUUUAUAAUUUGGGAACCAAAAUGUUCAUGUAUAAUCUCAGAAAAAGGGGUUAGAGGCCAAUGUUUCUUCUGCUGUCCCCAGAUUGGUCUUGAAUAUAAUACUUAAAAGUAAAUUAAAAAAGAGAGACCCCAAGGGUUUUUUUUUUUUGAAUUUUUUGCUAAACAAACUCAUUAACUUUUAAAUGACAAAAACUGGCCGUUUCAUACAUGCUAACAAUUUUGUUCGACGUCAAUUUUGUCGUUGUAAAUUAUUAUUUUUUAUUUUUUGUUGUAUCCUAGUAAUUUAGUUGGAGCUUUUGUCUAAAUUCUGAAGGCCUAAAAAAAAAAAAAAGAGUUAUGUAAUGCAUUGAGCAAAUUAAAACGUUCUCGAAACGGUAAAGGGAGAGGAAGAGAUCAUCUUCCUUUCUUCUACUUUUGAUUAGCACCAGUAGUUCCUUCUUUUUUUUUUUGAUCAAACCACCAGUAGUUUCAUGUUCGUUAUUUCUGGAUACAUAGCUAAAAAACAACACAGAGAGACCCGAUACGGCCAUACUCUUUUCUUUUUAACGGCACGGAUUUAUUUAUGCAUAACACUUAUUCGUUGAUUUACACAAUCAGUAAAGCAUGUGUUCUAGUAAUUACUUUCAUCCUUCUAUAACACUAAUUAAUACGACUGGCAACAAUAUAAUUUACAAAAAAAAAACACAUUUACAGUUUGAUAUUGUUUAAUUAUGUUUCGGAUUGGUUUUAUCCCUUUUCAUAUAUUUUUCUAUUGAAACCACUUUCUAAAAAUAUAGUUUAAUUUUUAAAUCACUAUUUAGCUCUUUUCGACUACCAACUAAUUUUUGAAAACAAUCAUUUACCAAACCAUAGGUCCUUGCUUGUUUGGUGGUAUUCAGUUAUUCAUGCCAUUAGGUUUUGUAUCAGUGUCUCCGGUUUUCAUUAUAACAGGUGAUAUAUAGUAUUCUGAUUAUCACCCACAUCAAAGUCUGGGUGGUGUAGUCGGUUAUCACGCUAGUCUCACACACUAGAGGUCCCCGGUUCGAACCCGGGCUCAGACAUUUUUCAUUUAAAAAGUCAAAAGUAAUCAGUAAUCAUGAACAAAUAACUAAAGUCGGUCCACUACAUGUCUAAUUCGUUUCUUUACAAACCAUUUAACAAAACCCUAAAAAAAAAUCAUUUCUAAAAAAUGUAUACAUAGUAAUUAUUCAGUAUAACGGCAAAAAUGAAUGAAUUAUUCAAAAAGUAUAUUAAUUAGUACGAACCAUAUUUUUUUAUUAUCAGUUCAGCUAUAAUAAAAAAGGUUCUAGGAUUUAUAUUUUUCAGUUAUAAGCAUGAAAGUCUUUUUUUUUUUUUUUGAAACGGGCCUAUAAGUAUGAAAGUCUUAAAAGAUCUUUUUCUGUAAAGUUUUAAAAUAUGAUUGAGAACAACAUCCAAACUUACUAUUUUAACAUGUCAUUGUAAUUAGUAACAUGUUAUUGUAAUUAGUAACAUCCUAAUUCUUGGUAUCUUUUACAAAGCCUAUGUGUUUAGAAAUUUCACAUAAAAGAAUACAAAUAAACUGGACUCCGACUAGUUGGCCAUUAAUCUCCCAUCCACGCCCAUAUUUUGACUUACUAGAUUAUUUACUCAUUCAUAAAUUCUAAAGUUUUGACUUAUUCAAUUGUUUUUGAAUUGGUAGGUGUAAAAUAAACUCAGCAGUAGGACAAACUGCAAAAGUUCAAUGUGAAAUAAACUAAACUGAUUUUAAGAUCUCAAUGAGAAGAAAACAAAACAACCAGUGUAAGAUCUAAAUAAGAAAAAAACUCAAAAAAAUAUAAGAUACAAAUAGGGAAAAUAUCUAACCGAGGUAAAGUCCAAAUAAAGAAAAUGUGUAACCGAUGUAAAGUUUGAAUAAGGAAAAGCUCCGAAUUAGAAAACGUCUAACCGAGUUAAGUGAAUAAAACAAUAGAGCAGAAAAAACUAUAGUAAUUAUAGUUUUAGUCGAUAAAUUAUUACAAAUUACUUUGAGAAGAGAACCAUGCAAAGAUUAAUCAAAUUAUAUAUGACGAAGAUAAUAUUAUGGACCAUAACUUUAACUUAAGUCAUUGACAUAAGAGCCGCCCUUAAAGCAAAAGCCACAUAUUAGAUGAAACCUCCCUUCUAAUUUAUUAUUUUUAAUGAGUGAUUAGUAAGUAUAUGGUAACUAGUGGAAGAACCCACUUCCGGCUUCCCAUGGUAUAAGCCACUUAAUCACGAUUGUUUAAUACAUCAAGCUAUUAUAAUUUUACAAAACAGUUGAUGCAUAGUUUCACUCACUAUUAAAUACGUUAUCAUCUUAAUUCAUAGUUUAAGAGAAGCUCUGUAAAAAAAAAAAGAAUUUCUUGGGGAUUUAUAGCUAUUUACUUUGAGGUCAUCUAGAAUCCAUUCUAGAUUUGAUAUUUCAUUUUUCACGAUAAUCUUCCUAUCUAAUCGAUUAUAGUUGAUCAAUUAAAAAGGAAAAGUUUCCAUCGUACUUUUUGUAAAUGAUCUACACUUGUUUUGUCUUAUUGUCAUUCAUCAACAACAACACUAUUAUCUUACAAGCCUCUGCUUUUGGAGUUUGAAAGAGGUCAAAAGAAAACUUCAAAAUAAGAAUAGAAAAUCAAAUUCUGGUGCCAAUUAACCAGAUUCGGAGGUAAGGCCAUUGAUCUAACGGAGGCAAGGUUGAUCUACACUUUAUGAAAUUGUUACAUGCAACAUCAUGAAAACUACACAUUAUGAUCAACAAAACAAAAGAAAAAACCAUGAGAACUAUAGACCAGAAAAGCCAAAAUUUCUCAUAUAUAAAGGUAAAAGAGAAAAAACAAAAUAUAAUAAGGGGCAAUGAAGUCAUAGAAACCUCUAUAAAUAGGCACUCGUCAACAAACUCAGCAUUCAGUUGGAAACUCUUAACUACAUGCUAUUCUUACAACAUUUAUCCGCCAAUAUAUAUAAACACUAUAAACAGAAUUAAAAAUGUCAUCCAUUGGAGCAAGUUACGCACCCGUACAUCUUAUGCAGAAGAAGCUGAAGGAGAAGAUAAAGAGAGAAAAUGAGAAAGAAAAGAAGAGAGAAGAAAAAGCUCAAAGCCUCGCUGUCGAAAACUCUUUUGCCACUGGAAGGGAUUCUAACAAAAUCUACCCUUCUUGCUUAUCUUAUAGUGAAAAAAUAGCGAUCAAAUCGCAAGAGUGAAAUCUAAAGUAAGGAAUUUCUGGUUCAGAAAGUUCUCUCUAUGUAAUUUGUCCUUGUAUAUGUAACAUAUCUUAUAUUCUGUCUGUUACUUGGUGUUUCCUUGUCGAGUGUUAAAAGGUUGUUGUAAGCAAGUUUAGUUAUCGAUUUUUAUUUUUCGGAAAACAUUUUGCUGGCACCAAAACUCGGAAGUCAAAUUCCGACCGAUCUGAAAAAGAUAAUCAGAGUUCUAUAUAACCUCACACGCGUGAUAUUCGAUUCGUACGUACGACUGAUAAUAUUGGUUUGCUUGUACUUGUUUUUGAACCAACAAUUGUUCAUAACUUCAUAAAAAAGGGGAAAAAAAAAUGGGAGUAAAGGUCCAAGCAACUCUGUUCGUUCAUCAAAGAUUCAAACCAAAGUCUAGUAAACAUAAGAGUCUUCUCCUGCGUUCUACAUUAGAAAUACCAAACCAAACUCAACAAAGUCCUCAACUUUUGUCCGCACUGAGCUAAAUUCCUAAGAGUCUGCUAUGAAAAUAAUGACCUGAAACCCCCCAAGAAACAACGUCACUUCUUGUUCUUAGCUGCAAGUUUAGCUGCAACUUGCUCUUCUGACAAGGGCAAGUAAUAUAUCCUGGGGAUUGCUUUGGUCUUCUUGAAGAGAUCAUCAAGCGUGACUAUGGGAGGUUCUUGUUCCUCAGGGACUAGAGGAGGAGGAGGGGGCGGAGGAGGAAGACGUUCUAUGACUGGAGGUGCUUUAGCCAGAGGCGGCGGUGGUGGAAGAGCAGUUGGAGGUGGCCGCGAAAUUGCCUGAGCCUGUGGCUGAGGAGGAGGAGGCAGAGGUGCUUCCAGUUUCGCUUUUACUUCUUCUGGUCCAACAAAUUCAGCUGUCAGAAGGCGACCUCCGUUAGGUGGCCACUGGAGGUUAUACACUGCUUCUCUUGUUGCUGCAGCUUCUUCAACAGAUGAAUACUACAUGUACAUCACAACAAGAUUCAGAUAAGGAAAAACUCUUUGGAUAUAUAAGUAAAAGUCAGAAGAACAAAACUGGAAUCAACAUUUUUGUAAACCAAAAGGAUUGAAGAAGCGGUCUUACUGAUACAUAGCAGUGGGUCUUAAUAUGGUCCAUCCAGAAACUAACGACGUUUCCGGUUUUACCCAGAAGCUCUUGAACAGCUUUCAGUGUGAACGGCCUAAGGAAAUGAUCAAUCCUGAGGGAAUUCGUAGGCUCCUUUGGCGAUGGAGGCACUGCCAAUAGAUAUAUUAAACACAAAAUAUUAUAAAACAAUAUUUUAAACAACGGAUAAGAGAUGGUAACAUACAUAUACGGGUGAUAUUUUACUUACCCACACGUUCCUUGGGUCCAUCCUCACUAACCGAAGAGUCGGAUCUUGAAUAGUCACGCUUCUGACCAGUUGACCUCGGAGUUGUGGUGGGUGUGGCGCUAUUAGUGGCCUGUGCUUCAUGAACUUUAACACUCCCAGAGUUCCAUCGCCGUUGCCUUUUUGCAGGCUCAUUGUUUCCAACAGCUUCUUGAUCUAAAAAGAGGUAAAAGUUGAAAGAUUUCAUCAUAGGUGGCUUGGAAUUCAUGAAAUUGUUAAAAAGCCAACAGAAACAAAAAGUAGCCAUAAACACAAAGAUGAAACAACUAUUUAGCAACACAUGCUUCAAGAGCCAACAGAGACACGAAGUAGCCAUAAACACAAAUAUGAAACAACUAUUAAACACUAGCAACAUAUGCAUCAAUAGCCGACUUGACAAGAUCAAACACAGAAGACUAACAUGACUAAUGAGCGAAAUGAAAUUGAGAAGCCUUACCAUUGGCAGGAAGCUUUCUUUUGUCAGAAGCCACCAGUGGAUGACUUUUAUUUUCAGGGACUUCCCCUUUCCCAACAUCCAUAAUAUCAGCACGACUUUCCUCCUUAUCAGUAACAAUGUCAUUUUUAUCACUCUUAUCCACCGCUUCAUGAGAUGUAACUGAUUCGGUUUGCUUCGUCUCUGGCUCAUCCUCCAUAGACUCAUCACCAGAACUUCUAUCUAAAUUCAACUUUUCUGAGUCGCCUGCAUCGAUAAUACUAUUUCCUUUGGUGAUAUCUGCAUUAGCAGCAUCGCUGUCAUCUCCACCUCCAACAGAUAUCUUCUGCGCAAGUGGCUCCUCGACAUCCAUUGGAUGCGAUUCGCCAAUGACUGUUGAUGGCUCUUGGGACUUAUUAACAUUUUGUUCUAAUUUGACAUUAUCAGCAAUUUCGUUAUCCUUUAGUUCUAUUUUUUCAUUAUUUGACACAGAAUCAGUAGUAAUACAAUCAGAUUUUACCUCAAACCCUGUAACGGGGAUGACCUCAGAUACCUGGUUGUAAAUAGCAGAUUUUUCAAGCACUGCGUCUGUAGGUUGGGCCUUAGAAUCCCCAGCAUCCAACCCGCUAAAUGUUUCCUUAUUCUCUACAUCAGAUUUCUGAAUAAUGUGCUCAUUAGUAGCGUCUUCGGAAACUACUGCAUCAGUUGCAACCACACCAGAUUCAACUCCAUCUAGCUUCACAUCAACCACUGAAGUAUCAAGACCAGCUAUGUCUCUAACAUCAUCAACCUUUUCAUCCUGGCCACUAGCAUUAACCUCUGGUUUAGAAUACACCGGGGGUGGUAUUAUCUCUACCGCAGCUGUCGUUGUCGUCGCAUCAGCUGGUUCUGGAGUUGUCUCAGCUGCAACUAGAGUUGUCUCAACAGGAGUGGUUUGCCUUUGAUCUGGUGUAACUUGGCGUCGAGUAAUCUCAGCUUCUUGAUUGGCUGCCACAGCAGCAGCAAGAGCAGCACUACGGAGUCUUUCAGACUCUUCUUGCUCAGCACGAAGGGCGUCAUCUAGACGCCUAACCAAUUCCUCCUUCAAGCCUCUUGUUGUUAAUCUGCGUCUUUUAAGCUCUUCCUUCAAUUCCGUAACCUUCCACUUAUCGAUUGGUCGAUUGUCCAAGAUUGGAAAGGGUGAUGACGACAUCUUAGCCUAUGAGCUGAUUCUGAAAAAGAAAAAAAGAAAAAAUCAAUAAAAUAAUCUUCAAAAGAAAUCUAUUGUAGGGGAAUAGAUUUCUCUAAAAUCCAAAUUAGCCAACGAAAACAAAUGAGACAAAUAGCAUUGCAACGCAUUAAAUCUAGUUCUCCAACAAACCCAAAGCAAAAGAGAUAAACUUUUACGAUGACUUACAGUAAAUUGGCCUGAAGCUUUUCGAAUUGCGUGAACGAACGCCGGGAUAAUGUAAAACCCUAAAUUCGCAGUAGAAGAAGAGCGGCAAUUAGAGAGAUUCCCAAACAAAAGACAAUGAUCAAAAUCCACCACGGAAGAUUACAAAUUUCCACAGUUCCAACGCAAAUCAGAAAAAAGAAAUCAACUUCUAAGCUCAAACCGAAGAAAAAGAACACGAACCUGAAAAACGAAAUCUCGAAGAUAAGAAACGGAGAAAAGAGAGACCUGCGUCAGUAAUUCAAGAAGAGAUGAACAGAUAGAGCGAACAUUGGGGAUUUUCUAACCCGACAUUGUCUUUGAUUAAAAAACAAAACGAAACAAAAUUUGAGGAAAUUGAAAGAGGAGGCGAAUUCUAGGGUUCUUGUUCGUCGGGUGUUUGAUAAUGGGAAAAAUGUCGAGGACUUCAAGUGAAGGAGUUGUAUGAUACUCUAAUAAGUACCACCAAUCGCCAACAGAAAUGUCGAAAUUACCCCUUGAUAAUCAAACGCUCCCAUACGGCGUCGUUUUAACGUCAAAACGCUUUUGGGGUUACCAGAGGAGAGAGCAUAUCAUAUUAGUUACCCACCGGAGGCUUCUCCAAAGUCUUCUCCGUCCGUCGCAACUUUUUCUCCGUUCUUCACAGCAACGCGAUAAUGCUGCGGAAGUAUGUUUCCUCAACCCUUAUAAAUCUGAUUGCUUUUGAUGAUUUUUUGGUUUUUGACGGAGACAAUCCGUGCUGUACAAUUGUUACCGAUUCUCUUGUUGUGGCAAAAUCAUAUUUCCGUAGGUUUAGGGUCUGUUCGUUGUUGAUCUCUCGAGAUUGAGAGCUAUUGUUUCGUUGUGAAUCUUACCGAAUGUGAUUAUUGUCGCUGCUCUUUGCUUAGGUCUGUUCUCGAGCUGUCUUCGCGUUUGUCAAUAAAGAGAUUCCCAAGGAAUUUGGGAGCUCAGGUGAGUACGCAUUUAGUGGUGAUUCUAGUUUAGCAUCUUGUAACUAUACUCUUGUUUCUGAUUGUUGUAUGCUAUGUUUGCAUUGCAGCAGAGGUUUCAUUUGAGUUCUUCGAGAAAGGCUUCUACAUCUGGCAAAAAUGGAGCUAAUCCCGUUGGAAAACCAAACGGUGAUCCACCAAAAGCGUCUCCUCCUCCUCCUCCUCCUGUGGGGAAACCAGAUGGCUCUAAAGGUAGUUCUUCAAAAGUUGUCAUAGGAGGCGUCGCGGUCGUUGGUGCCUUUCUGGUAGCAUAUCAGACUGGGUAUUUGGAUCAAUAUCUGGGGAAAGAAAAGCAGACCAUAAGCGAACCAGUUACUGAAAAUCUGGAGGAGGCUGAUCAUCUUAAUGUAGCUCCAGGUGUUGAAGAUUCUACUGGAAUUAGCUCGUCAAUGGAUAGUAAAGCUGAAACGCAACCUGAAGUUCCUCAUUCUGAAGCUUCUGCGGGAGUGCAGAGUGACAUAUUAGUGCAGCCCGAGUCUGAUGUAACACCUGAUCGUUAUACAUAUGUUUCUUCUAACCAAGAAGAGACGCCUCAAGAAAUUGCUACUGAUAGAACAGAGAAAAGCUCGCCUAUUUCUUCAGAUGAUAACUCUGCAUCUGAAGAUUCGAGUAAGUCUGACACGUCCACAGAGGCAGAAAAUGUGAGGUUGGAAGCUGUACCACAACCUGGGGAUAGUACUGUUGUUAGUGCCCAGCCUACUACGGUUGAUAGAGAAAGUGAUAUGGAAUCUGCCUCACCAAAGGAUCCUGCUACUGAAAAGGCACCUCAGGUACAAAUAUUUUUUUCCUUUUAGGUGAACUUGAAAAAGAACUACACGUAAUGAAGAUAAAAGCUUACAGAUUAAAACGCAGAAGAUGAACUACGCAGGAAUGAUCUACAUCUCUAAUUAGCCGUUCUCUUACAGGAUGACAUUGAGCGGGAAGUAGAAAUGCCAGGUUCUCUCCUUAAGGAAUACAAUCUAGAAGGCAGUAGUACUGAAAGCACUAGAUCCCUAUCAACUGGGGAGCAGCUGACUAAAGAAACUGAGGUUUCAAACUUGAUUUUCCUCUCUCUGUUCCUUCAGUGCUUUGUAUUGAUUGAUAAUUACCGAGAAAAUAUUCUUAAUCCGCCCUACUUUGUGAAUUAGGCUCUUCCUAACUCAAUUGAGGGGCUGAAAGAUGGUUACAUGACUGAAGAUAGAAAGUUGGUACUUGAUUUUCUCGAUGCCAUCCAUGAAGCUGAGAAGAGACAGGCACAUUCAGAUGACCAGUUUUAUGCUGAAAAAAUACGAGCCAUGAAGGUUGAUAAUAGGAUGAAAUAUCUCAUAAUAAUGUUUUCAUCUCUGUACUGCCUUUGCGUUAUCUGUGAGGUUUAAUUUAUUUACCCCUGCCAAUUGGCCUGACUAUCCUCAGGAGAAGUACGAAAAUGAGUUGAGAGAUCUUAGAGCACGUGAAUUAAUGCGGAUAGAGGAGGCGGCAAUAUUGGAUAAGGUACUUCUAUCUCUUUACCUCUGCUAGAUUAUUAAACACUCAAAGUCGCACUGCUCAUAUGCAUCAGACUAACAUGAUGAUGUUCAGCUUUAAAAAAUUGGACAUCUGAUGCGAUAAUUGUUUAAAUCCAUCUAAUCUCGGUUUCAUGUUCCCGGGUAGAAAGAAAACAUACGGCUAUAAUUUAAGCGCCACUGUUGCUUUAUCCAGGAGCUAAAAAGAGAAAAAACAAAAGCUGCAGCUGCUAUCAAGGCAAUCCAAGAGAGAAUGGAAGAUAAGCUCAAAACGGAAAUUGAACAAAAGGUCUGGUCAUUCGCAGGGAGAUGAGAAUAAAAGUGUAUGGCCUAUGGCGAUUUGGAUAGUCAUAACUGACAAUUUGUAUUUACUGCAGGAAACUGAAGCGCAGUUGGCUUUGAGUAAAGCUGAAGAAAUGGCAAAAGCUGAGUUGAUUUCGGCAAUUGUAAAAGAAAAGGCAGCACAAACUGAGAAGAUGGCAGAAGCAGAUCUUAAUGUAAGUAAAGACAAAAACGGUGUUACCUAAAGGUUCCAACCUCAUGGUAUAGAAUGUUGCACAGACUGUUUCGUAAUCAUAAUUAGGAAGAAGGUGUAGGAAUCCAGUUGCACGUUGAAAUCAGAUAGGUUCUGAAUAUGACUAAAGUACUAAACCAUAAACGAAAGUUAUUACUGCACUCUGUUGAAAACAUUUCAUCAAGACAAAGAAAGUGAAGGUAUUGUGAUGAGAAAUGAUGAGAAAUGCGCAUAUUGUAAAGAUGUUGAAAGCGUAAUCUCUGUUCUAACGAGCUCUCGAACCCAAAUUAUAACUAUCCAACUCACACAAAUUUGUGUUACCUUUCUCUUUGUAACUAAGUGAAUUCCUGAAAUUGUAGUCAUGUCUCUUUUUUGCCUUCUAAUUUUCGUAGAUAAAAGCGCUGUGUAUGGCAUUCUAUGCGCGCUCUGAAGAGGCUCGCCAAAGUCAUUCAGUUCACAAGCUUGCAUUGGUAAGAAUCCAAUUUCUGAUUUUUUUUUCAUGGGUUGAUGUUAAUGUCAUGUAACUUUGCUAUUCUAUACCACCUUCUAAGUUUAUAUAUGAUUUUUUUUUUAAAAAAAUACAUUCUGGUUAUUGAAGGGUGCACUUGCGCUUGAUGAUACACUUUCAAAAGGACUACCAGUCCAAAGAGAAAUCGAUAUGCUUCAGACUUAUCUUGAAGGAAUUCAUAAGAACUCAAUGUUAGACUUGGUGUUAUCAUCUCUUCCAGAAGAAGCACGAUCCAAUGGAACAGAUACAAUACUGCAGCUGAACCAGAAAGUGAGCUUAUUAUCAAUUUAAGAGAUGUCAAAGGAUGUAAGACAGUUCAACUUAUUUCUUACUCUCUUCUCUUUACUAUUUUCAGUUCAAUACCUUGAAAGGAACACUUAGACACUUCAGUCUCAUUCCACCUGGUGGCGGAGGAAUCUUAGCACAUUCACUAGCACAUGUUGCAUCUUGGCUCAAGGUAUGCUACUUACGGAACAAAAGUCUGCACUCCAAAACUCUGAGUAUUAAUGGCUUCCUUGUAUUUUUUCUUUUUUUUGGGUUACAGUUCAAGGAAGUGGAUCAAGCUAAUGGAGGCAUUGAAUCUGUAAUUAGAAAGGUUGAUGAUUACUUGGCCGAGGGAAAAAUAGCAGAAGCAGCAGCUGCACUUGAAGAAGGUGUUAAAGGAAGUAAAGCAGAGGAAAUAGUCGGUGAUUGGGUGACACGUGCAAGAAACAGAGCCAUUACAGAACAAGCUUUAACUCUUCUCCAAUCUUAUGCAACCUGUGCCAGUCUCACUUGAUCAGAUCAUCCCUCUCAUAAUCUCAUUAAAAGUUCUUUUUUGUUCGAUACUUACGAGGAUGUUUGUCGAUGGAGAAAACAUGCGUUGAGAAAAGAGGAAACUGCUAUAAAGCCCAAUAAAGCCCAUGAGGCCAUGUGCUUCUGCUUUCCCGACAUUAUUUCCACAAUUGUUUUUUCCGGCUUGAAAGAACAAUAAUAUAAUACAGUAUUUUUACUCCGGCCAACAAUGAGAAAAGAAAAAGAUGGUUGGUUAUCUAUGUUAAGAAAUGCUUAACAAUAGAAUUAUGUUAAGAAAUGAUAAAGUUUAGAAAAAAAAAAAAUCAUAAUUCACGGAUAACAAAUAAAUGAUAAAUGAUUGUUGUUGAUAAAUUUUGAAGUUGACACCGUAAUUACUUUCGGUGAGUACCCUCUGCAUUAUUGUUGUGUAUCCAAAUUAAGAAUCUAAGAAAGAUAACACACCAAACCCAACGAACACAAUGGUCAUGCAUGUAUCUUUUUAAAAAAUCUAUUUAAUUAAAAGCAUACAUAUAUAAUUGGAACCUUGUCCUGUCCACAUUAUAAACUUUAAACUUUUUUGGACUCUGGUUUCUAAAAAGCAAAACCAUAUAUAUUAUGGCUGUUUGUAAUACGUUGAUAUAAAGAAUAUUAAUGUAGACACUAAAAAAAAUCAAGAUUACCAUAUACAAACAUAAUUAGGACAUGGAUAUAAAUUAAAUUUAUCGAUUGCGGGAAACUUCUUCUCGUCGGUUUUGCUUAAAUUAUGUUACUAAAUGUACCAAACGUUGAAGGUUUGCUCGACAACUCCAAAACAUUAUAAAAUUUUGUCAGCUAACUUACCACUAAAUGUUUCAGUGGAUCACCUUCCUAUUCUUAUUUAUAAGUUAUAACUACAACUAAUAAUGUGGAUAUUUAAUAAUAAUAAUAACAAGCAUAAGCAUUAAAUCGGGUAUAUAUAUAAUCUGUUCUGCGCCUCGUUUGAGAGUUUCUAAAGCCUUACUGAAAUAAUAAUAAUUUUUACCUAAAGAAGAGCACAGGAAAGUACUUAAUUAAGUACACUUUAGUAUACCUAAUAGAGUCUUUGGACGAUAUGAAAUAUACAAAAAUUAAUUUGAGAAGCUGAAAUCUUAUUCCCCACCAUCAUUAAUAAUUCCAAAUAAUUGAAAUAUUGCAAAUUUUAUUCACCAGCUGAGCAGACCCAGCGAACCUUAAAUAUGAAACAGCUAGAGUUGAGAGAGGUGAGGUGGCACAGCUCUUCCAAUCAGGAGACAGCUUCACACGCGUAUUCCAGCCGGCGCCGUCAAAUGUUUCUCACUGUAUACAUAUCGAACGCUCACGAUCUCUCCUCAAACGUGUGAAGCUGUCUCGAAUUAAGUGUAGUAGUAAGUUAACCCAAUUAGCAAAAACCACCUUUAUAAUUUUGCUAAUUCUAUCAUUUAUCCUAUAUCCCUAUUUAUGUAAUAGUGAACCGUCUUUUUAAUUGUUUAAAUAAACUGUUAAUUGUUAAGCUACUAGUAUGAAUUCGUUAAGAAAUGCAUGGCUCUCACCUUCUUUCGGUCUUCCUAUAAUAAAUAAAAAAAGCUAAGCACCUUUAAUAUUAAUUUAAUUUGUUCAAUUUAGAUCAGAUUAUCAGUUCGGUUAAUCUGAAAUUCGCAUUUAUAAUCUUAGGUCUUGCGUUUCUCUAAUCUAAAUCAGAGCGUAACCUUUAGUUCCAAACAUUUCUCAUCAAAUAUAUAUCUUACCUAAACCACAAGGUCUUUUUGCAUAUAUAUUGCUUACAGCUUAAGUUCUUAUAAGGACAUCUUUUCUAUAUUUUAAUAAAGUGGGCCAAGCUUAUUUUUCUUGUCUCAGUUUUAACUUUUAAACACAGAAAAAAAAAAAUUUCUUUCGUACCAAUACAAUAAUAUAUUAAAGCAAAUUCUUGUAUUAAAAGAUCAAAGGCCUAUAUAACUCGAGACAAGCUAGCUAACAACUCAUUGCAAAUUGAAACCAAAAACGAACAUCCAUACAAAUACAGCACAUAUUGAAAACAUUGAGGGAGAAAGAAGAACCCAGUAGUAGUUUUUUUUAUCUAUUAAUUUCUUGAAAAAAACGAGUCAAAGAUCACAUCAAGAAGAUGGGAGUUGGAGGAACAAUAGAGUAUAUAUCAGCGCUAAUAGGAAAUGGAGGAAGCCAUAGCUAUGGCAAGAGGAAGAAGAAGAAGCAGUUUCAGACUGUAGAACUCAAAGUUAGAAUGGAUUGUGAUGGUUGUGUCCUCAAAAUCAAAAACUCUCUUUCUUCUCUAAAAGGUAACUAACUUCUUCUUUUCUAAUAUAAACCUAAGGAUGUCAAAACUCUCGUCCGUUCUCAUCACAUUUUGCACUGUGUCAUCUUAAAACCCGUUUGUUCAAUCCUAUGCAUGUAUACAUACAUAAAUAUAGCUCCGUUUAUAUUAACAUAUUCAAAAUCUUGUUUGUAUAUCUUUUCAGGAGUGAAAACAGUGGAGAUUAACAAGAAGCAGCAGAAAGUGACAGUGAGUGGUUACGCGGAAGCGAGCAAGGUGCUGAAGAAGGCGAAGGCGACCGGGAAGAAAGCUGAGAUAUGGCCGUACGUGCCGUACAACUUGGUGGCUCAGCCGUACAUAGCUCAGGCUUACGACAAGAAGGCACCGGCCGGUUACGUCAGAAAAGUGGACCCACACGUCACCACCGGGACGAUGGGCGUUUACUACGAUGACCCUUCUUACGCUUCUAUGUUUAGUGAUGAUAAUCCCAAUGCUUGCUCUAUCAUGUAGUUAUUAGAUCAUUCAUAGAGAGAUUUAUAUCCUGUGGGGAUAUCAUAUAUAUAUGUAUAAAUAUGGGUUAGAAAUUUUACUGUUUGUUCUUUUUUGUUCAUGAUUUUGUCUUCUUUUUCAUGUGCUUUUUGUUGGUGUUACAAGUGAAUGUAAAAUAAUGCUAAUAAAUGUCUUGCCUAUAGCCUAAUCAGUUGGAUAUAAUAAGUGAUCAUUUUUAUUUAUCUUUCUACCAUUGGCAUAUACUAAAAAAGAACUAUCAAUAAUGGAAACAAGUUCACAUUUUAGGUUCGAUUUUGUUAUGCUAAUUAAAAACUUACAAAACAAAACAAGAAGGGAUUAUUGUUAGCUUUGGACUUUGAAGAAGUCAAGUUCUCACUUUGCGUAAUACUCGUUGAAGAGUAUGAAACUAAGAAUUUUAAAGCGAAAGCCAACUAUCUCUCUUGGAUCAUUUGAAUCUCAUUUGAUCAUGAAAUUCUUUUUGGGGUCAUUUGGUCACAUUAGGGAUAUUUUAUUUUCGAGGCUUUUGCUUUUGCUGUUUUAGCUCUUUUUGGUAGUUUUUUGGGAACUCAAAACUCUACUUUUCACCAACUAUGUUAUUAAAAGAAAAAUCCAAAACAAUGGGUCGUAAAAUAUCACAUAAAGCUAACUCUCAGAGAGAGAAAAAUUCGACUACGCAACAUAUACUGUUCAUAUAUUUUUUCUAUACAUACAUCCUACCAUACAAUUCUUAGGACUGAUUCAACAAAUUAUACUGGUAUGAAUCUUGCUCUUCAAAGUAACACCAGCCUAUAAGAAAACUUCAUUGCUCUGUAAAUGGAACCCAGAAUCAGUUCCUGCACUUUAUUUUUCACAGGAAAAGAUUGCUCCGACCAGUUUUUUGCAUACAUAGAACCCAAGUUCUACACACGUUUUUGGCCUUCAGAUUCAUGAGUAGUUGUGGGGGGGACCAAACAGAGAGAUAUUACGAUGAUGAACAAUCACAUCGCACAACUUUAUCCUAGACUCUGUACAUCUUUGUGACACAAGCUGCAUCACAUACCUAGAGUAAAUCUAACCUAACACACAUAUAUCCACCUAAGCUAAAGUGCAUGACUUUUAGACAGAUUUACGUAGAGGAGUGUGUUAGCUGGAAUUAUCGAUGUUUUAGAUCAUAAAAAUUAUAAUGGAUGUCAUCUGAAGAAGGUCACAAGGAGUCACCUGUUGAUACAUCAUAUACAUAGUUGUCUAACCGAACGAAAUUGGAGCUGGCUUCAUCUUGUAUUACUUCCAGGGAAGAUCUCAACGAAAUUGAUAUCAUAGAGCAAAGUUGCAUUGCCAGGUAUGUUACAGUCACCUGCAGAAACCAAUACGACAGUCUCAUUAUUCCCAAAAGAUAUAUCUUUUCUUAACAUUUCCAUGUGAUAGAGCAAAAAAACAUAUAUAUACAAGUGAAGUGUUGCAAGGAAUGGUGGGAAGUACCAGAAAAGCAUCCUGCAGGCUCUGGUCCAUAAGCUAACCGAGGUGGAAUCUGAAGUUUACGCUUUCCCCCUGCAAAUAAAACCGCACCAAGAGUUACGUUUUCAGUCUGAUAAAGACAUCGAACAACGAAGAAGAUGACAGUUACUUGCCUACUCGCAUAGGAGGUACUCCUUCACCUCCAAGAAUCCCCUGAUCUAGACCCCUAAUAACCUGAUCAUUUUUCGACAUUAAUAAGUUAGGGACCGCUUCUCUGCUCACACUAAUCAGUAGUCACAAAGAGUAAAGAAAGAACUAACAUCAAUUAAGUAAACUGUAAAUUCACUACAGUGCUACCCAAAAGAUCAAAAUUUUUCUUCUACAACAUAGUUUCCUAGUCAGAUAAAAUUUGCAUUGCUCGGUUAAACAAUCAACUAAUUCACCCACCUUUAGUCAGUACAUCAAAUUGAAAAUAAUGAAAUCCAGCUUAGAACUCCUAUAAACUUUGAAAUAGAGUGUUCAUUUGUGGAAUCUAACUAAAAAACGAAUUGGCUUUUGCAGUACCUUGCCGACACCAAUUCGCAUAGUAAGUGGUCUGGCACGCUUAUAGCUACUGUCAAACAACGUUCCAUCUGCAAACCUCGCCGUGUAAUGGAUCUGCCCAACACCAAAUUCCCAAACUUUGAAUGAAAAUUACCAGACUUUCGUAUGGAUUCAACACAAUCACCUCCCAUGAAUCGGGAACUUUAAUCCAGAUGUGUAGCAUAAGACGGAAAAAUAUGUAUUUUGACAAAACGCAUAAACAGAGAAGCUAUAGCAAUUUAGUUUAACAUGAGGAGAAAGACGAUGUAUUCAACUAAUCACUUGCUAUAAACCUGACAUUGUAUCCAAAUGUGUAAUAAAGACAAACCCUUAAAAUAGCGAAAUCAAAAUCGAUUCAUGGGAAAUUAGAGAGGCAGACAAAUUACAUUGACGAGUACGCCACGAGGAGCUUCGUCACCGAAUCCAACAUCGAUAUCGCAAAAUCCAAGUCCCGAUUUUGCGUAGCUGUAUUCGCAGAGAGGAUCUCCAACAGUGGCGUAGUACUCGAUCCUCGUGGCGUCUGCGUCCAGAGGCGUCAGAGAGAGAAUCGAAGCGGCUAAAAACCCUAAACCCAUUCCGAAAACGCGCUUUCUCGCGGCGAGGCUCGUGAUUUUGGGCUCGCAAUCGGUGGAAGAAGAACAGAGACACGAGAAUGAGGAGGACAUAGAAGAAGAGGAGGAGUUUGGUAUGAAGGAACGUGUAUAUAGAGAUGAUGUGAGAGUUAAAGUAGAAAUCGCCAUUGUUUGGUUCUUUGAUUCUUCUUCCUCUCUUCUUCCUUAUCUGCGGGAAGCACAAGCGUUUGGUCUGAGUCUUUUGAGAGUGUAACGGGAAAAAAAGACAAAAUGGAUAUAUGAGUGUAGGACCCACUGCUAUGUGAUAUACAUAUAGUUUAGAGUACAAUUUUUUUUUUAGUUUGUUGAUUAUCAACUGGUAUGUAGCAAAUGGUCACCUAGAAUCGUUCUAAAAGUAGACGUCUUGACGUUUGUGUAGAUGGUCAAACAAAAUAUUAUGAAAACAAUAAACAUUUUUUGAUUAAUCUGUGAUUAAUUGGCUAAACACGUUAAUUGGCUAAACACGUUACACUUCCCCUCCGAAAAGUUUAUUGUUGUUAGUUGUUACUUGCGUAGCGAAUUUGUCAACACUUGAGUAGGAAUAAGUAAGAGAAAACUAUUCGACCCUCUAAACCAAUUAAAUUCUGAAAGCUUAUUUUAUUGUUCGGUGUUUGGUCAUAUCCUUUGACAUAAUUGGUGGAACCUAAUUUCGAUGUUAAUAGUUGGUAGAGAAUGGUAAUUGUCAAUUAAUAUUAGACCAAACGGACCAUUAAAAGGAAGAUAUUGAAAGCUGAAAAUAUAUAUACUCCGUAUUUUUUUCUUGAGAAAGGGGUAAGCUGAAAAUAAUCACAGUUCACAGCUAAGAAAAGGUAUUAAAAUAAAACCAAAUCCAUUCACUAACUCCCAGCUGCCUCAUCUGCAAUUUGAGAACACCAAGAUUUUUCAUUCUAAGUGUAUAAGAUUGCUAAAAGUUUACCACCUCUAAACUUUUCAUAAUGUAUAGCUAUUAAUAAUAAUUAUAUUUUACAUAAUAUAUCAAAUGUGCUGCAGCAGUAUAUACGAUAUUAUUAAGAAUAUAUAUAUAUAAGUAUAUCACGUUUUGUAAAUUUAAACUAUGAAUUCUUGGUUAAAAUAAACAGUAAUUUUGUAUACAAACUUAAAUAAUAAUACUACUGUAUUUUAUUCACAACCAUAUGAAGUAUACUUUGAAAUUUGUAGCUACCAACAAAAUUUUCAAAAAAAUUACUAUUAUAACAAUUUACGACCAAUCAUUUAUUUUUCAGAAAUAGUUUGCGUUUUGAACGUUCUCUAAAACUUCAUCUUUUCAGAAGAAGUGAAUGACCUCUAAAAUUGUAGACUACUUAAGUGUCAGCGCAACCCUAAAUCAAAAUUUGAUUAGUUUUAUGGGUUUUUCACUCAAAAUCAAUUAACAUUCUUUCGAAAAUGAUCAUUCUUAUUGGUAUUUAACAUGAACUCAACUAUUUAAUUGACAAUAACACGUCCAAAUUUUUUUUGACAAUUCCAUAUUAUUAUCAAAAUCAAAUCUAUAUCGUGUUAAUUAGACUCUAUGCUAUACCAUUUUAAAGUUCUAUAGACUUUUGACUGAAAACAGUUGACUUAGUUUAUGUCUUUUAUAUAUCCUUCUCAUUUUGCGAUAGGUAUUAGCAACAAUAUUAAAUUUGAUUCCCUAUUUCACACCCCAUUUGAUGUUCAUGUAUCAAUAUCCUUUUGCACUAACUCUUUUAAGUUUUGGAACCAGUCGGCCCACAAAAUAUAGAGAUCCCGAAUCGAAUCAUUUGGAUAGUAACAUAAUGGCCAUACCAGUGGCUUAUCACUGAACUAUGACACCGAGUAUUGGCAUGAUCCGUUCAAAAUAUGUAGAAAAUCCAUGAGUGCGACAAUAGCUAUUAUCAUGGUCCACCAUAACCACCACAUAAUAAUAACCAUCAUCAUCAAUCAUCAUCAUCAUAUAUUCCUUUUGAUAGAGAUACAGAUAUAAGCAUACCGUGGUCAGUAUAUAUGUAAGUGAUGUGUAUAGGUUAUGUCGUGCAUUGGUGACUUAGUGUAACUGGUCCGUGGACAGAAAAAAUCAAAAUCAUUUGAACUUUUGUACACAUGAACAAGCAAAAGAUAUUUUCAUCAAAUCUCAUGAUUUGUUUUACGACCAGCAACUCUCAUGGUGGAAAAGAAGGGUAUUUUUCAAAGAGUUAUAUACAGUAGCUAAUGACAUUUCUGAAAACUCAUCUAGCAAAGUAAAUGACAUCCUGACUAUAUAUAGAGUAGAGAGUUGAAAAUUAUCAAGCAAAAAUUAACUAGAGAGAUGGAAGAAAAAACUACGAACUUUUUGAACGUAUCGCAUUCUAAAAGUUUCUUUGACACGAACGCAUCGCAUUUUAAUCACUAUUGGUUAUCUUCAUAUAUUCCCUUUUGCAUUCUGAUUCUUUUACUUUAAAUUUCAAAUCGAUUGGUGUGGUAAAACUGAGAGUGAAGCCAGUAAAAAAUAACAAAUGGAAGUAAAUAUCAUAAUGGGAACAUGACUCUUAAUGCAAAUUAAUGAUGCGGAAGAAGACACCAAGAAAGACUAAGCACAUGGGAGAACAGUAAUUUAUCAAGUUUCAAAUCAUCGCCACUAUUAUAAAAAGGUAUACACAACUAUUUAAUUAAUACACUAUAGUCCCGAAACUAUAUUUCCAGACUCCGGCGGCCGUCGAAGAUUCCACAAAUCUCGCCACCAUUCACUCCAGUAUUAUAAAGGAGAAAUAUUGAUUGUACGGAUCCCAAAACCACAUAUAGAUUAGGUGCUAUCUAUUUCCAGAAUAUACAUAGAAAUCUGAUUUAAAUGAGAUCCAACUACUAACAAAUACUCGCCAACACAUAUAGAAAAAACUUAGAUAAAACAACUAACAAAGCAUAGUUUAAUUAAUUUUUUAAGAACACACCCUACAAAAAAACGUAGAAGUGUUUUUACGAAAAUAAACAUUAUAAAUGAGUAACUUCAUCAUCGAUCCUCUAUGUACUAUGUUUAAUUUGUUGAAUAGUCAGAUCAAGAUAUUAUCUUUGAUUUCGAACAAAAUAUAUAAAUAGAAAUAUAUAUAUAUAUAUAUAUACUUUUAUGUUCUUUGGUCGGAAGAUGAACAUAACCAAGUACCGUCAUUAUUAUGAUCAUGAUCGGAACCACCGUAACUUCCAUUUUCACCAGUGGUUAUGGUCCCUUUAUCCACUGCCGUCGUCGUCAUAGGAGGAGUUGUAGAUGAACUCUGCAACAUGGCAAGACCAAACUGAUCGUGAUCAUUACUCCUAGGGUUUGACAUCUGAGCUUGAAGAAGAGACUGUAGAUUCAUAUUCUCGAAACUGUUACUAGGGUUUUGAUAUUGCUGAAUCUGUGAUCCGGGUAGGAGAGGAGACGUUGGGAGGAUUUUUUGAGCGAAAGGUCGUAACAAGAGAUUGUUGUUGUUAUAUGAGUUCGGUGAAGAAGAAGACAAGCCGAGAAAAGUGUUGAGGCGCGUGGUGUUCACGACGGAAUUGUUGCUGAAUAACGGCGGAGAUGGGAUUCCGGUGAACUCUUGAACCAUCGCUCGGAAAUUCGAAGUGUCCGUCGUUAGAACCGUCGUUGGUGCUCUCCUUGAUGCUCGAGAUCUUUUCUUGGUUUUCUUGAUUACUCCUAUGUUGUUAGGAGGAGGGAGUGAUGACGUGGCGGAGAACGUUCGCAGGUCGGGUUGAGAAAUCGGGUCGGGUUGUUGGUUUACGGGUAAGAACGUGUUGUUGUUGAAGUAGUUUGGUGGUAUUAGAGAAUUGUUGUUGUUGUGGUCGAAGUGAAGGAGGUUGAGGUGGUUUUGUUGCGGCGGAGGAAGAGAUGGCACGUGGUGGUUGUGGUGGUCGAAGAAAGCGGAGAUGGAUUGAUCGGCGGCGCGUGAAUCGUACUCUUCAUCUCCUCCUACUCCUCCGCCGCCGCUUGAAGAUUGCAUGCUACUACUAUUACCGGACUCCAUCUUCUUCUGACCAAACAAGAAGAAAAAAAAAAUUGUAUGAUUUGAUGGGAUGAGAGAAAACGUAAGAAGUGAUUCAGAUGAGAAUAUAGACUCGCGUUAAGGAGUGUAAGAGAUAGGUAUUAUGGUAAAUAAGACAUUUGGUGUGACAUGAUUUUUUAAUUAUUAUCCUAUUUUUGUGUGAAAGGGAGAAAAACAGGGAAGGUGAAAUCGCAUUAAGUGGUUCCACUACCACCAUCCACUAUUGUCUACCCUAUAUAUUAUAUACAUGUAUCUAAGGUUUGGUUUAUAUAAAAUUUAUUCGUUUUGGUAAUAGUCAAAUUCAAUUUGAUUGUAGAUAUUUGGUUUGGAGCUUUGGAUAAUGAUUUGUAUUUUUUUUUUUUUUACCAUUAUGGGAGAAUAUGUCUAUUCAUCUUAUGAUGGUAUGUAACUUUGUUUUUUUUCAAGGAGAUCUGAUAAAUUAAAACGAUACAUGGAAUAUUAACGUUGUUCUGCAUUAAAAAAAACACGUAAAAUUCGAGAAAUGAUCAAUUUGUUUAUAUAUAUAUAUAUAAAUACCUUUGCUUUUAGUUCUUGCUAAGUGUAGUUAAUUACUUUUCUUCGUUACAUGUAGAUAUAUAAAAAUAAAGGUGAAAAUUUUAAUUAUAAAGGUAAAGAUUAACUAAUUAUCUGUGCGUGUAAUCAAUCUGUAAUUGUAUUCUUGCUUGCAAACUAAUCAGGUGAAAAACAAAUGAAUAGCAAUAUGUUAUUCGUUUACUGUUUUUGCCCUAGCUACAUGAUCUAUAUGUAUAUAAGUACCUUUUCCAUAUAUUUGAUAUACCUUAAAUGAAUAACGAGUGAAAAUUACAGAUUGGUUAUACAAUAAUGGUUUUGAGUGUAGAUUUGGAUCGAUGCUACGUUUGGUCGGAAAAUUAGAACAAAAAUACUAAAUUUUAGUAACUCUUAAAGGAAAUACACACACACAUAUAUAUAUAUAUAUAAAAGGGGCCAUAACCCUAUUUUCACUUUACCCAUACGGCUUAAUUUUGUUUGGUUACCCACACUUCUUUAAAAAUGUUGUCGCCUUUUACUUUAUUUCUAAACAAUCGAAAAUUUUAGCUGAAAUCUAAACUCUGAAAAUUGUAAUCAUUGUAUAGCAUAUAAGGAAAAGACGUAUAGUAAAAAUCAGUUAAUUAACUUCGAUCAGCGUAAUGACUACGAUUAAACCAUUAAUUAUCAUCUAAUUAUAUAUGUUGUCUGGGUCAGUCUAUUGUAUGAGUGAUCAUCAUAUUAACCAGAUUGUGUUUUUGGCUGUCAGCACCGGAUUAUGUUAGUCUAACAAUGUCAUGUUGUCAGAAAAUUAUAUGUAUUGAUUUUGGUAAAUACACAAUAAAUUUUAAAAUUCUUUAAUAUGGUGACGAACAAUAUGUAGCUUUUAACCUAAUAACAACAUGUUCUAGAGAUCGCAUUGACCCGAUCCAGAAAACAAAUACAUACGGAUACGGGUUAAGUUAUAGCCGAUAGAGGCAAAAUCUCUAUCGGUGAUCUCUUGAGAUUAAUGUUCGGCGAUUUCUUGAGUUUUCAUCGACAUCUUUUGAGUUUGAUAUGUAACAAUUAACAAGAUAAAAUAGAGAUUUGGCCCUUAUAACAAUAUAUAUACAUAUAUUUCCUAUAUAAUUUGCCCAAAAUGAGAUUAAAUCGUUCCAAAAAGAUGAGGGAUGUUUAAUUAAUUAAUUAUAACAUACUUGUUUAAUAAAUAAAUGUUAUUUAAAAAUCAAUUAAUAGAUUUUUUUUUGAGUAGUUUAAAAUUUAAAAUUAAAAUUUAUUAAUUAAUUUUCUUUUUUAAAAACUGUAAUUUUAAAUAGAUUUUUUCUUCAACUAUUUCAAAUUUAUUUAUUUUUGUAAUUUAAAAAAAAAUAUAUGAUCAUCAUUUGUUAAUAUUUUAUUAUAAAUCAAUUAAUUAAAAAUAUAAUAUCAUUAAAAAUCAAGAAAUUAUUAAAACAUCAAUGUUUAAUUAAUUAUAACAUAAAUUCUUGUUUAAUAUUUACAUAAAUGUUAUUUAAGAAUCAAUUAAAAAAACUUUUCAUUUUUUUUGAGUGGUUUAACAUUUAAAAUUUAUUAAUUAAUUUUUUUUAAAAUGAUACAUGUCAUUCUUAUAUCAAUUCUUAAAUGCUGAUGUGUCACUCAAAUGGAAAGAGUUGAAGAACUUUUAUAUAUAAGAUUUAUAUCAAAUGCUAAUUGGGUAUUUAUUAUGCCUGGACAUAAACUAAUCAAAAUCUAACAGCAAUAUGUUGGAAAAAUCUAAAAUAUAUAUAGAAAUAAAAGCUGGAUGAAUAGCCAUCAAAAUUUCCAUAGUCAUAUAGACUCAUAUAUAUAAGGAAAAAACAAAUAUAAUUCUUAUUUUGCUUCUGGUCCGUAUGCUGGCAAGAUAGAGGUACAGUGUAAGGGGUAGUUUCGUAAUCUCCAAAAUCCAUGCUGACCGACUCGCCGAGUAUACGCACAAUUGCUCACAUCAUCACGGUGAAGAAUCCGCCACGUGAACAAUACACGCUACUCCGGAAACACGAGAUAACAACCCCACGUGUUAAUUCCCAGUAAUGACCCUCUCCUUAAUAUUCGCAUCUAUUAAUACCUCUCUCCUGAAAAGAAAACAAAAAAUCAGAAAAGAAAACAAUCCGCUCACCGGGAAAAAAAGUCACCGAUGGCUCGUCGCGACGUUCUCCUCCCUUUCCUCCUCCUGCUAGUCACCGUAUCCGCCGUGGCCUUCGCCGUAAGUUUCUCAGUUCUCUAACCUCUUCUGAUUCUCAUCAGAUGGAUUUGAUUUUUUGACUUUUUAAAUUCUCUCUGAUAUUUUUUCCCCAGGACGAUGAACCAGACUGCGUCUACACAUUCUACCUCCGAACCGGAUCGAUCUGGAAAGCCGGAACCGAUUCGAUCGCAAGCGCCAGGAUCUACGACAAGUACGGUGACUAUAUCGGGAUCCGAAACCUAGAAGCCUGGGGUGGAUUAAUGGGGCCUGAUUACAACUACUUCGAGAGGGGUAAUCUCGACAUUUUCAGCGGAAGAGCACCGUGCUUACCAAGUCCGAUCUGCGCUCUAAACCUAACCUCCGAUGGCUCCGGCGAUCACCAUGGCUGGUACGUCAACUACGUCGAGGUUACGAUGACUGGUGUUCACGCACAGUGCUCGACGAAUAAUUUCGAGAUCGAGCAAUGGCUCGCCACCGAUACAUCUCCUUACGAGCUCACCGCCGUGCGGAACAACUGUCCGGUGUCGCUAAGGGAUACCGUUAGUCGGGUCGGGUCGGAGAUCCGGAAAGGGCUUUCUUGGGUCGUCUGAGUGAUGUUUGUGUGAUUCAUGAGCUCUCUUAUUGUAUUGUUUGUUUGUGUAAUUGUGUCCAUCGUCUUGUGAGUGUAAUG
rnacentral:lncRNA from 1 species